rnacentral:lncRNA from 1 species
AAUAAAUUAUUAUAUUGUUGUCAUUAACAGCAGUUUCACUUGAUGUAAGGUAAAACAAUUUGGUUUUAUUUUAUAAUUGCUGUUCUAAAAUUUUGCUUUGAUAAAUCAGAAUAUAUGUUCAUUUUAAAUCCUUUAAACUUCUACAGUUUUCCGACAUAUUGGCUCAUUUGAGUUGAUCUUCGUAAGAUCCAAAAAAAAAAAAAAAACCUUCUUCAAUUGCUAAUUAACUUUUUGGGUUGGACGACCAUAUAUAUAUAAUACGCAGUCUUAAAUUUCUCGAAUCAUUAAAAGAUAUAUCAAUCGUGCAUGAUCAAUCAUCUCGUGACUAUUAUAGUUUUAU